rnacentral:rRNA from 1 species
UACGGGGGGGGUAAGCGUUGUUCGGAAUUACUGGGCGUAAAGGGCUCGUAGGCGGCCAACUAAGUCAGACGUGAAAUCCCUCAGCUUAACUGGGGAACUGCGUCUGAUACUGGAUGGCUUGGAUCCGGGAGAGGGAUGCGGAAUUCCAGGUGUAGCGGUGAAAUGCGUAGAUAUCUGGAGGAACACCGGUGGCGAAGGCGGAUCUCUGGGCCAUUACUGACGCUGAGGAGCGAAAGCGUGGGGAGCGAACAGG